UCCACUGAACCUUAUCAUUUAGAGGAAGGAGAAGUCGUAACAAGGUUUCCGUAGGUGAACCUGCGGAAGGAUCAUUGUCGAUGCCUCACAAGCAGCAUGACCCGUGAACCCGUUUCUUCAACGGGGCGGCCGGCGGUGCUUCGCGCCUCCAGCCCCCCAUUGUCGGGAGGCGUCCUAUGCGGGCUCCUUCCGGCGAAACAACAAACCCCGGCGCAACACGCGUCAAGGAACUCCAACAGUCUAGCACGCCCCCGCGGACCCGGAGACGGUGCYCGUGCGGGGGGUGCUGCGGCGUAUGUAUAUAUCYAAAACGACUCUCGGCAACGGAUAUCUCGGCUCUUGCAUCGAUGAAGAACGUAGCGAAAUGCGAUACUUGGUGUGAAUUGCAGAAUCCCGUGAACCAUCGAGUCUUUGAACGCAAGUUGCGCCUGAAGCCAUUAGGCCGAGGGCACGCCUGCCUGGGCGUCACACAUCGUUGCCCCAACGCCGGUGCCUCCUGCCAGGCAUCGAGCGGGGCGAAUGCUGGCUUCCCGUGAGCCCGUCUCGCGGUUGGCUGAAAUCCGAGUCCGUGGCGGAGGUCAUCACGAUUUCUGGUGGUUGAGGGAAAUCUCGAGACCAUUCGUGCGUGUUCUCUCCGAGCAAGGGACUCUGUGACCCGCGAGCAUCACGGCAUGUCUCCCGACGGGACCUCAGGUCAGGCGGGGCUACCCGCUGAGUUUAAGCA
rnacentral:rRNA from 1 species